rnacentral:tRNA from 1 species
GCCCCUGUAGUUCAACGGAUAGAACGGAAGUUUCCUAAACUUUAAAUAUGGGUUCGAUUCCCGUCGGGGGCA